rnacentral:rRNA from 1 species
UGAGUACGAGCUGCUACGGCAGCGAAGUGGGUGAUGUCAAGCUUCCAAGAAAAGCCCUAUACCCGUUAAGGCAUGACGGCCUGUACCCGAAACCGACACAGGUGGGGUGGUAGAGAAUACCGAGGGGCGCGAGAUAACUCUCUCUAAGGAACUCGGCAAAAUGGCCCCGUAACUUCGGGAGAAGGGGUGCCACCGCAAGGUGGUCGCGGUGAAGAGGCCCAGGCGACUGUUUACCAAAAACACAGGUCUCCGCUAAGUCGCAAGACGAUGUAUGGGGGCUGACGCCUGCCCAGUGCCGGAAGGUUAAGGAAGCUGGUCAGCGCAAGCGAAGCUAGCGACUGAAGCCCCGGUGAACGGCGGCCGUAACUAUAACGGUCCUAAGGUAGCGAAAUUCCUUGUCGGGUAAGUUCCGACCCGCACGAAAGGCGUAACGAUCUGGGCGCUGUCUCGGAGAGAGGCUCGGCGAAAUAGAAUUGUCUGUGAAGAUGAGGACUACGUGCACCCGGACAGAAAGACCCUAUGAAGCUUUACUGUAGCUUGGUAUUGUGCCCGGGCUCUGAAUGCGCAGGAUAGGUGGGAGGCUUUGAUCCAUUGCUUGUGGGUAAUGGUGAGCCACUGGUGAGAUACCACUCUUUCAGAGCUAGGGUUCUAACGGUCACCCGUUAUCCGGGGACCGGACAGUAUCAGGUGGGCAGUUUGACUGGGGCGGUCGCCUCCUAAAUGGUAACGGAGGCGCGCAAAGGUUCCCUCAGGCUGGUUGGAAAUCAGCCGACGAGUGUAAAGGCAGAAGGGAGCUUGACUGUGAGACCUACAAGUCGAACAGGGACGAAAGUCGGCCUUAGUGAUCCGACGGUUCUGAGUGGAAGGGCCGUCGCUCAACGGAUAAAAGUUACUCUAGGGAUAACAGGCUGAUCUCCCCCAAGAGUUCACAUCGACGGGGAGGUUUGGCACCUCGAUGUCGGCUCAUCGCAACCUGGGGCUGAAGUCGGUCCCAAGGGUUGGGCUGUUCGCCCAUUAAAGCGGUACGCGAGCUGGGUUCAGAACGUCGUGAGACAGUUCGGUCCAUAUCCGGUGCACGCGCAGGAACAUUGAGAGGAUUUCUCCCUAGUACGAGAGGACCGGGAGGAACGCACCUCUGGUGUACCAGUUAUCGUGCCAACGGUAAACGCUGGGUAGCCAUGUGCGGAGCGGAUAACCGCUGAAAGCAUCUAAGUGGGAAGCCCACCUCAAGAUGAGUGUUCCCAUGGCAUAAGCCAGUAAGGUCACGGGAAGAACACCCGUUGAUAGGCUCUACGUGGAAGCGUGGCAACACGUGAAGCGGAGGAGUACUAAUAGACCGAGGGCUUGACC